rnacentral:rRNA from 1 species
GUGCUGUGAGCUCGAUGAGUAGGGCGGGACACGUGGUAUCCUGUCUGAAUAUGGGGGGACCAUCCUCCAAGGCUAAAUACUCCUGACUGACCGAUAGUGAACCAGUACCGUGAGGGAAAGGCGAAAAGAACCCCGGCGAGGGGAGUGAAAAAGAACCUGAAACCGUGUACGUACAAGCAGUGGGAGCACAGGUUUACCUGUGUGACUGCGUACCUUUUGUAUAAUGGGUCAGCGACUUAUAUUCUGUAGCAAGGUUAACCGAAUAGGGGAGCCGGAGGGAAACCGAGUCUUAAUUGGGCGUUAAGUUGCAGGGUAUAGACCCGAAACCCGGUGAUCUAGCCAUGGGCAGGUUGAAGGUUGGGUAACACUAACUGGAGGACCGAACCGACUAAUGUUGAAAAAUUAGCGGAUGACCUGUGGCUGGGGGUGAAAGGCCAAUCAAACCGGGAGAUAGCUGGUUCUCCCCGAAAGCUAUUUAGGUAGCGCCUCGUGAAUUCAUCUCCGGGGGUAGAGCACUGUUUCGGCUAGGGGGCCAUCCCGGCUUACCAACCCGAUGCAAACUGCGAAUACCGGAGAAUGUUAUCACGGGAGACACACGGCGGGUGCUAACGUCCGUCGUGAAGAGGGAAACAACCCAGACCGCCAGCUAAGGUCCCAAAGUCAUGGUUAAGUGGGAAACGAUGUGGGAAGGCCCAGACAGCCAGGAUGUUGGCUUAGAAGCAGCCAUCAUUUAAAGAAAGCGUAAUAGCUCACUGGUCGAGUCGGCCUGCGCGGAAGAUGUAACGGGGCUAAACCAUGCACCGAAGCUGCGGCAGCGACGCUGAUGCGUUGUUGGGUAGGGGAGCGUUCUGUAAGCCUGCGAAGGUGGCCUGUGAGGGUUGCUGGAGGUAUCAGAAGUGCGAAUGCUGACAUAAGUAACGAUAAA